UACGUAGGGAGCAAGCGUUGUUCGGAUUUACUGGGCGUAAAGGGCGCGUAGGCGGCCUUCCAAGUCGAGUGUGAAAGCCCCGGGCUCAACCUGGGAGGUGCGCUCGAGACUGGCGGGCUGGAGUUCGGGAGAGGGAUGCGGAAUUCCAGGUGUAGCGGUGAAAUGCGUAGAUAUCAGGAGGAACACCAAUGGCGAAGGCAGCACUCUGGGACGUGACUGACGCUGAGACGCGAAAGCGUGGGGAUCAAACAGG
rnacentral:rRNA from 1 species